ensembl:lncRNA
CGCGGCCAGGGGCUGGCACGGGGCAGCCGCCGACACCGGAGGCCGUGGGGCAGCUGCGGACAGAGGCUGAAGUGCUGCCCUUCCCUGGGACCCCCGCCGGGACAGCCGAGCUCUCCAGCCCGCAGGGGAGCCCCGGAGGCCCCGGGCUGGGCAGGGAGGGGACAGGGCCGGCGGUGCCAGGGGGCAGAGCCACCGAGCCCCCGGGGCCCCUGGUCUCUGCCGGGCUGGGGGUGACCACUGCAGGGACCCCAGCCCCUGGGGAGGUGGACACAGGUCCUGGAAGCACGCAGCCCCCGGGCACUGACCCUGUAGGACAUGUGACAGUGGAAGGUGCCACCGGGCAGGGGACACUUUUGUAUUCACCACCCUCUGCAGCAGUGCCAGGUUCUGCCAGGGGACAGUGGAGGUCCAGCAGCACCCUGCUGGCAUGGAAAGCCACUGGGACGCCCCUUGUGCAGAGCCAGAAUGACACUCUCCUGCUGGGUGACAGCAGCCCAGGGACCCGCCCGAGCACCGUGCUGCCCACUGACAGCUCGGCCCCAGGGACAGCAGGGACAUCACCCUUUGCUGGGGGGCUGCAGAGGCUGCUGACCCCCAGAGGGACACUGCAGGGGACACACUGGGGGCUGCCAGGGCUGCCAGGAGGACAGGGCUUUGCUUCCCACCCACAGGAGAGUCCCCGCUCUGCCCCUCACCCCUCUGCACUGUCCCUUGGCCCUGCUGGGAGCCCUUUGGCCAGCACAGCCUGGCCAGCUGUGGGGACAGGCCCAGCCUUGCUGCCUGCCACACGCAGGGGCUCAGCUCUGCCUGUCCCCACCACCAUGGCCAGCACCCCGGGGGUGACAUCUCCUGGCCAGGGAGGAGCUCUGGCCCUGACCACGAGGGUCUUGGGCCCACCUGGCAGGGGGGCUCCCCCUGAGCACGGUCACGUCCCCCAGAGCCCAUCAGCCAUGCCAGAGCAGCCCCCUGGCCCCCUGGCCCCUGGCAGCCCCGCUGUGGCACAGGAUGGGGUGACACACGCCAGUCCUGGGUCCUCCCACAUCCCCUCGUCCCCACAGUCUGCCCCAGGCUCUGCUGUGACCCUGCUGUCGACCCCGCUGCCUUCCCCAGGGACCAGCUGGGGGUUCCUGGGACUCGGCCCCACCGUGGGCACCCCUCUAGGAGACCCCUCCCCAGGGCUGCCCCAUUCCAGCUCGAGGGUGGGUCCUGCUGAGAGCCCUCCAUCCCUGGGGGGGACCCAGGUGGGAGUGGGCAGCCCAGCACCCCCCUCAGCACCUGGGCCUCCCCAGCAGCCAGCUUUGUCGCAGUCUUCACCUUCCCUGGGACCAACCACUGCUGCUGGCAUCACCACCACCCGUGUCACUGCCACCAUCACAACUGCCACCAGCCCAGAAAGGCUCGGGGACAUGGGCACAGUCACAGCAGGGCCGCGUGCUGCUGUACUGCAGAGGGAUGGGCAGGGGGUGACAUGGGGAUCCCCGACUCAUGCGCCCACUGUGAUGCCCGGGCCCCCCCCGCAGCCCACAGAUUCCCCAGGUGGGGGCCCUGGGUCCCCCCCAGCUGCUGUGGACACAGACCUGGCCCAGCCACCGAGCAGCCCCAGAGGGAGGACAGACACUGACACCCCCCAGGUGACUCUGGCUGGGGUGGGCAGGGCCCCCCAGGUGUUCAUCGUGGAAGAUCAGCCCCCGCUCCUGAGAGCAUCCCUCCUGCGCGUCCCCUGUGAGCUGGUGCUGGACAUGGGCUUCGUCCCGGCCCUGCAGGACCCCGGGUCCCGGGAGCGCCAGGAGCUGCUGCACAGCUUCAACCAGACGGUGAGUGCGGGCCGGGCCGGGCCGAGCCGGGCUGGGCCGGGCCGGGGCCACCGCGCUCAGCUCCCGCCGCCCUUCCAGGUCACUCCCCUGUUCACGGCGCUGCCUGGAUUCCUACGGCUGGAGGUGACGGGGAUCAGGGAGGGCAGCGUGGUGCUGCGCUACGACGCGCUGUUCGCGGCGGAGCAGCUGCCGGGGCUGGGGCUGGACGAGCUCCUCGAGGCCGCGCUGGGCUCUG